GGAUUAGAUACCCUGGUAGUCCACGCCGUAAACGAUGUCAACUAGUUGUUCGUGUCAUUAAGACGUGAGUAACGCAGCUAACGCACUAAGUUGACCGCCUGGGGAGUACGGCCGCAAGGUUAAAACUCAAAUGAAUUGACGGGGGCCCGCACAAGCGGUGGAGCAUGUGGUUUAAUUCGAUGCAACGCGAAGAACCUUACCAUCCCUUGACAUCCAGUGAAUUUUCCAGAGAUGGAUUAGUGCCUUCGGGAACACUGAGACAGGUGCUGCAUGGCUGUCGUCAGCUCGUGUUGUGAGAUGUUGGGUUAAGUCCCGCAACGAGCGCAACCCUUAUCCUUAGUUGCCAGCGCGUCAUGGCGGGAACUCUGGGGAGACUGCCGGUGAUAAACCGGAGGAAGGUGGGGACGACGUUAAGUCAUCAUGGCCCUUACGGGAUGGGCUACACACGUGCUACAAUGGCGCAUACAAAGGGCGGCAAGCCAGCGAUGGUUAGCGAAUCUCAUAAAGUGCGUCGUAGUCCGGAUCGGAGUCUGCAACUCGACUCCGUGAAGUCGGAAUCGCUAGUAAUCGUGGAUCAGAAUGCCACGGUGAAUACGUUCCCGGGCCUUGUACACACCGCCCGUCACACCAUGGGAGUGGGCUGCACCAGAAGUGGUUAGUUUAACCUUCGGGAGAACGAUCACCACGGUGUGGUUCAUGACUGGGGUGAAGUCGUAACAAG
rnacentral:rRNA from 1 species